rnacentral:rRNA from 1 species
CCUACGGGUGGCUGCAGUGAGGAAUAUUGGUCAAUGGGCGCAAGCCUGAACCAGCCAUCCCGCGUGCAGGAUGACGGCCCUAUGGGUUGUACACUGCUUUUGUACAGGAAGAAAAAUCCCUACGUGUAGGGACCUGCCGGUACUGUACGAAUAAGCAUCGGCUAACUCCGUGCCAGCAGCCGCGGUAAUACGGAGGAUGCCAGCGUUAUCCGGAUUCAUUGGGUUUAAGGGGGCUUUAGACGGCUGUUGUGAAAUCCUGUCGCUCAACGAUAGAAUUGCCAUUGAUACUGAGAAGCUUGAGUUCAGUUGAGGUAAGCGGAAUGUGUAGUGUAGCGGUGAAAUGCUUAGAUAUUACACAGAACACCGAUUGCGAAGGCAGCUUACUAAACUGACACUGACGCUGAUGCACGAAAGCGUGGGGAUCGAACAGGAUUAGAUACCCGAGUAGUC